rnacentral:sRNA from 1 species
AAAAAAGAAAGAAAGAUAACUGUUAGAAAU